UACAUGCAAGUCGAACGCACUUUCGUUAAUUGAUUUUGAGAUGCUUGCAUCGAAGAUGAUUUUAACUAUAAAGUGAGUGGCGAACGGGUGAGUAACACGUGGGUAACCUGCCCAGAAGUGGGGGAUAACACCUGGAAACAGAUGCUAAUACCGCAUAACAAAAUUAACCGCAUGGUUGAUUUUUAAAAGAUGGCUUCGGCUAUCACUUCUGGAUGGACCCGCGGCGUAUUAGCUAGUUGGUGAGAUAAAGGCUCACCAAGGCAGUGAUACGUAGCCGACCUGAGAGGGUAAUCGGCCACAUUGGGACUGAGACACGGCCCAGACUCCUACGGGAGGCAGCAGUAGGGAAUCUUCCACAAUGGACGCAAGUCUGAUGGAGCAACGCCGCGUGAGUGAUGAAGGCUUUCGGGUCGUAAAACUCUGUUGUUGGAGAAGAACGUGUGUGAGAGUAACUGCUCAUGCAGUGACGGUAUCCAACCAGAAAGCCACGGCUAACUACGUGCCAGCAGCCGCGGUAAUACGUAGGUGGCAAGCGUUAUCCGGAUUUAUUGGGCGUAAAGCGAGCGCAGGCGGUCUUUUAAGUCUAAUGUGAAAGCCUUCGGCUUAACCGAAGAAGUGCAUUGGAAACUGGGAGACUUGAGUGCAGAAGAGGAGAGUGGAACUCCAUGUGUAGCGGUGAAAUGCGUAGAUAUAUGGAAGAACACCAGUGGCGAAGGCGGCUCUCUGGUCUGCAACUGACGCUGAGGCUCGAAAGCAUGGGUAGCGAACAGGAUUAGAUACCCUGGUAGUCCAUGCCGUAAACGAUGAAUGCUAAGUGUUGGAGGGUUU
rnacentral:rRNA from 1 species